rnacentral:rRNA from 1 species
AGAGUUUGAUCCUGGCUCAGGACGAACGCUGACGGUGUGCUUUAGGCAUGCAAGUCGAACGAGAAAGCCCUUCGGGGUGAGUAAAGUGGCGAACGGGUGAGUAACACGUGGGCAACCUGCCCCUCGCAGGGGGACAACCGGAGGAAACUCCGGCUAAUACCCCGUACGCUUAUUGGAUCGCAUGGUCCGGCAAGGAAAGGUAGCUUCGGCCAUCCGGCGAGGGAUGGGCCCGCGUUGCAUUAGCUAGUUGGUGGGGUAACGGCCUACCAAGGCGACGAUGCGUAGCUGGUCUGAGAGGAUGAUCAGCCACACUGGGACUGAGACACGGCCCAGACUCCUACGGGAGGCAGCAGCCAGGAAUCUUGGGCAAUGGGCGAAAGCCUGACCCAGCAACACCGUGUGGGUGAUGAAGGCCUUAGGGUCGUAAAGCCCUGUUGAUAGGGACGAAGGGCGAAGGGUUAAUAGCCCCUAGCUUGACGGUACCUUUCGAGGAAGCCCCGGCUAACUACGUGCCAGCAGCCGCGGUAAUACGUAGGGGGCGAGCGUUGUCCGGAAUUAUUGGGCGUAAAGAGCGUGUAGGCGGUUCGGUAAGUCUGCUGUGAAAUCCUGGGGCUCAACCCUGGGCGUGCAGCGGAUACUGCCGGGCUAGAGGGUGGUAGAGGCGAGUGGAAUUCCGAGUGUAGCGGUGAAAUGCGCAGAUAUUCGGAGGAACACCAGUAGCGAAGGCGGCUCGCUGGGCCACACCUGACGCUGACGCGAAAGCGUGGGGAGCGAACAGGAUUAGAUACCCNNGUAGUCC